CAGAGUUGCAAGACUCCCUAAACCAUUGUGAACCUACCUUCUACCGUUGCUUCGGCGGGCGGGCCCAGCGCCCCCCCCCGGCCCCCCGCGGGCGCCCGCCGGAGGAUACCCAAACUCUUGACAUUAGUGGCCUCUCUGAGUAUUCUUUACUGAAUAAGUCA
rnacentral:misc_RNA from 1 species